UACGUAGGGAGCAAGCGUUGUCCGGAAUCAUUGGGCGUAAAGCGCGCGUAGGUGGCUUCGUAAGUCCGUUGUGAAAGUCAAAGGCUCAACCUUUGAAAGCCGAUGGAUACUGCGGAGCUAGAGUACGGAAGAGGCGAGUGGAAUUCCUGGUGUAGCGGUGGAAUGCGCAGAUAUCAGGAGGAACACCAAUAGCGAAGGCAGCUCGCUGGGACGUUACUGACACUGAGGCGCGAAAGCGUGGGGGAGCAAACAGG
rnacentral:rRNA from 1 species